rnacentral:rRNA from 1 species
ACGAACGCUGGCGGCGUGCUUAACCCAUGCAAGUCGAACGGAAAGGCCCUGCUUUUGUGGGGUGCUCGAGUGGCGAACGGGUGAGUAACACGUGAGUAACCUGCCCUUGACUUUGGGAUAACUUCAGGAAACUGGGGCUAAUACCGGAUAGGAGCUCCUGCUGCAUGGUGGGGGUUGGAAAGUUUCGGCGGUUGGGGAUGGACUCGCGGCUUAUCAGCUUGUUGGGGGGGUAGUGGCUUACCAAGGCGUUGACGGGUAGCCGGCCUGAGAGGGUGACCGGCCACAUUGGGACUGAGAUACGGCCCAGACUCCUACGGGAGGCAGCAGUGGGGAAUAUUGCACAAUGGGCGGAAGCCUGAUGCAGCAACGCCGCGUGCGGGAUGACGGCCUUCGGGUGGUAAACCGCUUUCGCCUGUGACGAAGCGUGAGUGACGGUAAUGGGUAAAGAAGCACCGGCUAACUACGUG